CAUGGUGGAGACUCUGCGGCAGAAGGCUGAGGCAGACACAAAUGACAAAGCUGUCAAAGACCUGGUGGUGCUGCUGUUUGAGACUGCUCUGCUCUCCUCUGGCUUCUCACUUGAGGACCCCCAAACCCACUCCAACUGCAUCUACUGCAUGAUUAAACUAGGCCUGGGCAUUGAUGAAGAUGAGGUCACUGCAGAAGAGCUCAGUGCUGCUGUUCGUGAAGAGAUCCCCCCAUGGAGGGUGAUGAGGAUGCCUCUGGCAUGGAAGAAGUGGAUUAAAGGCUCCUGGGAAGCCCCUGCCCUCUGUAUAGUAUCCCUGGGGCUCCCCCAACAGCCUUGACUGGCCCUGACCCACCUGGCUCUCUGCUCAUGUCUACAAGAAUCUCUUCUAUCCUGUCCUUGUGCCUUAAGGCAGCAAGAUCCCCUCCCACAGAAUAGCAGGGUUGGGUGUUGUGUAUUGUGUUUUUUUUAUUUCUUUUAUUUUGUUUUGAAAUUAAAAGUAUGCAAAAUAAAGAAGAUGCAGUUUUAUACAAAAAAUAAAAAAUAAAG
rnacentral:lncRNA from 1 species